ensembl:snoRNA
UGGUCUGAUGAUGACUGUCCGUGGCAUAUGGGUUGCGUACGAUGAACAUGUGUCUGGAGCUCUGACGUCUGA